AGGGAGCUUUAUGCCUUAUUCGUC
rnacentral:siRNA from 1 species